CAGCUCAUACGAUACGAGCAUGCUCACGGUCCGAUCUUCACAGUUGCCGAGGACAGCGAGCCGCCAGCUUUUCUCGAGGCACUGGCGUCUUCUCCGAAAGCUUCUUCGUCCAGGGAUUGCGGUGCCAGUUCGUCUUCCAGCUCCCACUCACCAAAGGAAAAGGUGGUGUCGAUCUACGACACGGACUAUGAUAUCUAUUCCAAAGCCAGGGCAGGAGAGUUUACAGUCGCAAUGCCCGUGAGAACACCGGUGUCGGCUAUCCAGGGAAUGAGAAGUCCACAGCCAAACUGCAAGCCGUCACCUCCAAGCAAGAGCUAACUAGGAGACACCAGGAAAAGAAGACACACAGUUUUGCGGCGCCAGGGGCAUUUUGUCCGUGAACUGCAAAGGUUUCGAAGAACGACACGGACAGUUUUGUGAGGAGGUGUUCCGAGCGCAAUAAAAGAGGUGCACGCCUUAUCCAUUGUUUUAAUUAUUUGUAGCUUUUGACUCAGCGUUUUCCACUUGAAUGCAGGUGCAGGCAGUUCUAGCGCUGCGAAACAUAGCUUCCGAGCUCUCAGGUCCUCCCAAUUAGUACUACUUAGAACACAGACUUUAUACACAAGGGGGCAAAAAACAAACAA